CUUAACUUGGCAGCUCUGCAGGUAAAAUGCUUGAGGUAGUUAAGUUCAUGACCGUCCUUGACGUAGUCAGUGUUGCUCAGGACCGGACUAGUAACAGUUUGACUACGACAUAACUACGACACCCCGGGGUCCCAGACUGGCAGGUUCAACAUUAUGAUCAACAUUACCCCGGGGUCCCAGACUGGCAGGUUCAACAUUAUGAUCAGCAUUACCCUGGGGUCCCAGACUGGCAGGUUCAACAUUAUGAUCAGCAUUACCCUGGGGUCCCAGACUGGCAGGUUCAACAUUAUGAUCAGCAUUACCCUGGGGUCCCAGACUGGCAGGUUCAACAUUAUGAUCAGCAUUACCCUGGGGUCCCAGACUGGCAGGUUCAUGUUGCAGUCCUCUGGCUGCUUCAGGAGAACAGGGUUGGGCCAUUCCCUG